rnacentral:rRNA from 1 species
GUGGUGGCAAGCGUUGUCCGGAAUUAUUGGGCGUAAAGCGCGCGCAGGCGGUUCUUUAAGUCUGAUGUGAAAGCCCACGGCUCAACCGUGGAGGGUCAUUGGAAACUGGAGAACUUGAGUACAGAAGAGGAAAGCGGAAUUCCACGUGUAGCGGUGAAAUGCGUAGAGAUGUGGAGGAACACCAGUGGCGAAGGCGGCUUUCUGGUCUGUAACUGACGCUGAGGCGCGAAAGCGUGGGGAGCAAACAGGGAUUAGAUACCCUGGUAGUCCACGCCGUAAACGAUGAGUGCUAAGUGUUAGGGGGUUUCCCGCCCCUUAGUGCUGCAGCUAACGCAUUAAGCACUCCGCCUGGGGGAUACGGCCGCAAGGCUG